UACGAAGGUCCCAAGCGUUAUCCGGAUUUAUUGGGUUUAAAGGGUGCGUAGGCGGCUUAUUAAGUCAGUGGUGAAAGCCCCAAGCUUAACUUGGGAAUUGCCAUUGAUACUGAUGAGCUUGAGUAGAUUUGAGGCGGGCGGAAUGUGUCGUGUAGCGGUGAAAUGCUUAGAUAUGACACAGAACACCGAUUGCGUAGGCAGCUCGCUAAACUCUUACUGACGCUGAGGCACGAAAGCAUGGGGGAUCAAACAGG
rnacentral:rRNA from 1 species